rnacentral:tRNA from 1 species
AAGGGUAUAGCUCAGCAGUAGAGUGCUUGCUUAGUGUGCACAAGGUUCUGGGUUCAAUCCCCAGCACCUCUG